CGAAUUGCGAUAAGUAAUGUGAAUUGCAGAAUUCAGUGAAUCAUCGAAUCUUUGAACGCACCUUGCACCCUCUGGUAUUCCGGAGGGUAUGCCCGGUUGAGUGUCAUGAAUAUCUCAACUCCAGCGCUUUGUUGAUGUUGCACCGGCGUGCCCUUUGACCUAUCGAGGUCAGAGCGGUGGCCCUUGCGACUGAAGCGUUGGAGCUUGGAAUUGAGCUUUGUAGGCCGCCAAGGUCGACUGGCUUGAAAUGGAUCAGCGAUGCGUGAUCCCUUGGGUCCAUCUCGGCGUGAUAAGUUGAUCGCUGCAAAGGACACCUCGGGUUGUGGCUCGCUCCUAAUCGUCUUCGGACAGCUUUGACAUUUACACCUCAACUCGGGUAGGACUACCCGCUGAACUUAAGC
rnacentral:misc_RNA from 1 species